UACGAGCAUCUAACAUUACGGGAGUCAUCAGCACAAGUUUUAAAAAAUACAAGGAACCAGGCCUGGAAACUUCAAAUCCAAACACCACAUAAAGCUAACCCCAAUGCCUGAAGGCUCAUGAUAAAGCACCACUAGCAUAGCACAUAUAAGUUACCGCUAACUGAAAACACAAGACUGCAAAAGGUACAAGUUAAUCCCAAUAAAAGUUGAAAGCAAGUACCAAGAAAAGGUACCAUUCAUUAAAUUUUGUUCAUUCACAAGCAGUUUAGUUUUGGAAGGAUUGAUAAGCAGGUAAAAACUUCAUUGUAAGGCAAAAGUAAAAUAUUUUUCUUCUUUUUUAGUGAAAGUGAAAUGUAU
rnacentral:misc_RNA from 1 species